rnacentral:rRNA from 1 species
GUGUCAGCAGCCGCGGUAAUACGGAGGGUGCGAGCGUUGUCCGGAAUCACUGGGCGUAAAGGGCGCGUAGGCGGCCUGAUAAGUAGGGGGUGAAAUCCUGCGGCUUAACCGCAGGGCUGCCUUCUAAACUGUCGGGCUAGAGCACGGUAGAGGCAGAUGGAAUUCCCGGUGUAGCGGUGGAAUGCGUAGAGAUCGGGAAGAACAUCAGUGGCGAAGGCGGUCUGCUGGGCCGUUGCUGACGCUGAGGCGCGACAGCGUGGGGAGCAAACAGGAUUAGAUACCCUGGUAGUCC